rnacentral:rRNA from 1 species
GAUGAACGCUGGCGGCGUGCCUAAUACAUGCAAGUCGAGCGAACGGACGAGAAGCUUGCUUCUCUGAUGUUAGCGGCGGACGGGUGAGUAACACGUGGAUAACCUACCUAUAAGGCUGGGAUAACUUCGGGAAACCGGAGCUAAUACCGGAUAAUAUUUUGAACCGCAUGGUUCAAAAGUGAAAGACGGUCUUGCUGUCACUUAUAGAUGGAUCCGCGCUGCAUUAGCUAGUUGGUAAGGUAACGGCUUACCAAGGCAACGAUGCAUAGCCGACCUGGGAGGGUGAUCGGCCACACUGGAACUGAGACACGGUCCAGACUCCUACGGGAGGCAGCAGUAGGGAAUCUUCCGCAAUGGGCGAAAGCCUGACGGAGCAACGCCGCGUGAGUGAUGAAGGUCUUCGGAUCGUAAAACUCUGUUAUUAGGGAAGAACAUAUGUGUAAGUAACUGUGCACAUCUUGACGGUACCUAAUCAGAAAGCCACGGCUAACUACGUG